UACAGGAGGAAAAAACUCGUGACAUAAUUUUCUUAUACAGAGAUUAAUGGGGUAUUUAAAUUAAAGAGUUAUAACCACCCAUAUCCAUGUUCAAAGAAUAAUUCUCCUAAUAUGAACAAGCAAAUGAACUAACUUAUUCCAUAAUUUCUUAAAUGAAAUGCAAUUCUAAAUUAUAUGAUUAACACAUGUAGAUGGUAGGGGAUAGAGGAUAAUAUAAUAGAAAAUAUCAUGCCAAUGAGAAAAUAUCCUAGAAUAAAAAUAUGUAUGAAAAUGUAAUGAAUAUCAUACAAAUGAAUCUAAUGCGUGAACGAUUUAAGGAUCUAACAUUGGACUAACCCAUUUCUAUAAGUUCCCACUAGUGUUGGACUAGUGAGAAAAGGAAAAAGAGUCACAACUAGCGUUGGACUAGUGUGGUGACGUCAUGCAUUUAUAAUACAUAGUAAAACAAAUAAGGCAUAAAUUAAAACAAAUAACACAUAAGAGCACGUAGCACAUAACACGUAGGCACAAUAUUUAGAUACAAAAAUCCUAAAGAAAGCGGUAAAACAUAUAACACACAAGCAUGCAAACACACAAGCGAAUAAAAGCAAAUAGAAAUCUAACUAUUACAUUCGGAGACCCUAACUACAGUCUAAAUGGGUAAAGAAUAGAAAAUAAUAACCUAACUAUUACAAUUUGGCGUUUAAUUGCCUCUCAAAUAACCAUAAAAAAUUAAAUUAAAUAUAUGAAACUUAGAAUGAAUAAAACAAAUAAUUAAAAGAAAAUCACUCAAAACAUGCAAAUUCACACAUAAAAACACAUAAGAGCACAUAAGAGACUUUAAAAUAAAACAAGAAGAUACCUCCCUUGAAGUAGUAGCUAAUUGGGUUUAGUUUUACCUAUUUAACUCCAAAAUUAACAAAAUCAUUAAGGCACCAAUUUAAUCAACAAAUAAAUCAUAACAAAUGGAAAUAAACAUGAAAUCAAUCAAUUGAAACACUUAAAUGAUGUGUAAUCAAUGAUUAUAGAAGAAAAGCAACUUCUAUUUAAGCAAUCAAAUCUGUUAGGGAUCUAAUUGCAAAAAUAAAUAAAGUUUUGGGGUUAAAUUAUAAUUAUCACAAAGAUCUAGGGCUAAAAUUAAAGAAAAAUAAAGUUUAGAGAUCUAUUUGCAAUUAAAAUAGGGACCUAAUUGAAAGAAGCCUAUAGUAUUUAGGGUCACACUAGAAUAAAGUAAAAGUAUAGGGACCAAACAACAAAUUCAUUUCUGGUCUUCCUAAUCCAACCAGCCACUUGGGCCAUUUUAUUUAUUUGUUUGGGCCGAAAGCUCCUUAGCCCAACCGAAACCCAACGGAGAGGAGCCGGCUAAGCCUGACUCUUUUACCCAACAAACCCAAUGAAAAGAGUGGGCUUCAAUUUCCAAACCAUGAAAUCCAUAAAAAUAAACCAAGACCCACUUCCUAAAACCCAACAAAAAUGAACCAAAUUUUAUACCAAAACGAACCAAACAAACCUCAGUCCAAAAACUCCAAUUAUUUUACCAAGCCCAAUAAGAUAAUAAAUUCACUAAAACAAAUUAAGGUUUA
rnacentral:lncRNA from 1 species